UGGCAGUGAGGCGCCCACGCAUGUCUCCGCAUACAGACGCGCAUCCGGACACACAGAUGGAAUGCCUCAUUUUCGCUGCACGGUAUCAGCCAGAGGCGCGCACGCUGGAAUUCGAGCUGACCGAUGCGCCUCUCGUGGACGCCGUCACGGACGUCACUGUCACCCCGUGCGGUGCUGCAGCGCCUCUGUGGAAGACACCUGCCACGCAGCAGGGACUCUUUUAUGGUCGCAACACGUUUAUCCUGGAUCGCCCGCUUCUCUUUGCUGAUGACCGCAUCGCGCUCGUGUGCUGCGUGCGCGUGCGUCAGCAGCGCCCCAGCACCCUUGCAGCGCUCGCCUCAGACGUCUUGUGCGGCAGCGCUGAUGGGUCGGCUGUCCAUUGCGCCGGUCCACAAGACAUCAGGGAGUACGCCAUGCUACUCACCGAGGCGCCUAACACCAGCAGGUGUGAUGUGCACAACAACGCGUUCGUGUACCUCACCUCUCAGGCGUUGCCUCCCAUUAUGGCGGUCACAUCUACUACGAUGGUAUCCCCCUUGCCGCCGGAGCCGCCGAUCACGCACCUGACAUGCGCGCGUGAGAGGUCUCCGCCCUCUUCUCUUCCCGCGCUCUCUGCUCUUGCGCUCUGCUACCUUUAGCGGUGUCUCGCCAGAAAAACAAAAACGGUAAGUGAUGAGCAGAAUGGAUCCAUGUGAGGCCCUACGCGUGUGUGCGUGUGUGUCUGGUGACCCCCUCCUUUUCUCCUUUCGUCUGAUGCUGGAGCGCUUCAUCCCUUGCUAUUCUCCUUUCUUCUUCUGUCCUUCUCCACGCGUGCGCGCCGUCUUCGAUGAACGCGUGAGCGACGACACACACACACACACACACAAG
rnacentral:misc_RNA from 1 species